rnacentral:lncRNA from 1 species
CCCUCUAUUUACUACAGGGCUGCGUCUAAAUGUGAUUAGGUGUACCCCGUGCCAGUGCUUCUGCGUCUGGAGUCACAGACUGCUAAAAGAGAAAUGGCUCAGGAAAUAUACCCACAGUUCUACUUCCUCUCAGUGUGCAAUGGAAGACUCGUUGAUUUUACUGGAUCAGCUCCAGCAUGCAGAAGACCUGGGGGUGUUCUUUGGAGAAUGUGCUUUUUCAAUGGGAUUAAACUGCAUAAAUAA